AGCUUUGUGCAGUGGCAGUAUUGUAGCCAAUGAGGUUUAUCCGAGGCACGAUUAUUGCUAAUUGAAAACUUUUCCCCCAAAAAAU
rnacentral:snRNA from 1 species